rnacentral:rRNA from 1 species
AUUGAACGCUGGCGGCAUGCCUUACACAUGCAAGUCGAACGGUAACGGGCCUUCGGGUGCCGACGAGUAGCGAACGGGUGAGUAAUACAUCGGAACGUGCCCGAUCGUGGGGGAUAACGAGGCGAAAGCUUUGCUAAUACCGCAUACGAUCUACGGAUGAAAGCAGGGGACCGCAAGGCCUUGCGCGGACGGAGCGGCCGAUGGCAGAUUAGGUAGUUGGUGGGAUAAAAGCUUACCAAGCCGACGAUCUGUAGCUGGUCUGAGAGGAUGAUCAGCCACACUGGGACUGAGACACGGCCCAGACUCCUACGGGAGGCAGCAGUGGGGAAUUUUGGACAAUGGGCGCAAGCCUGAUCCAGCCAUGCCGCGUGCAGGAUGAAGGCCUGCGGGUUGUAAACUGCUUUUGUACGGAACGAAAAGCCUUCUUUUAAUACAGGAGGGUCAUGACGGUACCGUAAGAAUAAGCACCGGCUAACUACGU